GUGGGAAUAGCUCAGUGGUGGAGCACGUGCUUAACAUGCACGAGGCCCUGGGUUCAGUCCCCAGUACCUGCA
rnacentral:tRNA from 1 species